GCGCCACCCCGCACCUACUUUUGUAACCUGUACAGCUAGAGUGCAGCAGGGGUGAGCGGCAAUUCCUUAGUGUAGCGUGAAAUGAGUAGAUAAUUAGUAGGAACACCGCUGGCGAAGACGCUCACUCGACUGUAACUGACGUUGAGGCUCGAAAGCAUGGGGGAGCAAACAGGAUUAGAUACCCUGGUAGACACGCCGUAAACGAUGAUUACUAGGUGUCGGGGGGGCCAAGGUCCUUCUGUGCCCGGCGCAAACGCAUUAAGUAAUCCACCUGGGGAGUACGUUCGCAAGAAUGAAACACAAAGGAAUUGACGGGGACCCGCACAAGCGGUGGAGCAUGUGGUUUAAUCUGAAGCAACGCGAAGAACCUUACCCGGCCUUGACAUCCCGAUGAAUGUGCAGUAAUGUGUACAGGACUUCGGUACAUCGGAGACAGGUGGUGCAUGGUUGUCGUCAGCUCGUGUCGUGAGAUGUUGGGUUAAGUCCCGCAACGAGCGCAACCCCUGCCCUCAGUGGCCAGCAGGUAAAGCUGGGAACUCUGAGGGGACUGCCCGGGAUAACCGGGAGGAAGGCGGGGAGGACGUCAAAUCAUCAUGCCCCUUAUGGCCGGGGGUACACACGUGCUACAAUGGCGGAAACAGAGGGAGGCAGCCCCGUGAGGGUGAGCGAACCCCAAAAAUACCGCCUCAGUUCGGAUUGUAGUUUGCAACCCGACUACAUGAAGCCGGAAUCGCUAGUAAUCGCGAAUCAGAAUGUCGCGGAGAAUACGUUCCCGGGUCUUGUACACACCGCCCGUCA
rnacentral:rRNA from 1 species